rnacentral:rRNA from 1 species
UUGAACGCUGGCGGCAGGCUUAACACAUGCAAGUCGAGCGGAGUUGUGGUGCUUGCACCAUAACUUAGCGGCGGACGGGUGAGUAAUGCUUAGGAAUUUGCCUAUUAGUGGGGGACAACAUCUCGAAAGGGAUGCUAAUACCGCAUACGCCCUACGGGGGAAAGCAGGGGAUUUUCGGACCUUGCGCUAAUAGAUGAGCCUAAGUUGGAUUAGCUAGUUGGUGGGGUAAAGGCCUACCAAGGCGACGAUUUGUAGCGGGUUUGAGAGGAUGAUUCGCCCCCCUGGGACUGAGACACGGCCCAGACUCCUACGGGAGGCAGCAGUGGGGAAUAUUGGACAAUGGGGGGAACCCUGAUCCAGCCAUGCCGCGUGUGUGAAGAAGGCCUUUUGGUUGUAAAGCACUUUAAGCGAGGAGGAGGCUACUCUAGUUAAUACCUAGGGAUAGUGGACGUUACUAGCAGAAUAAGCACCGGCUAACUUUGUG